GCGGGAUAGCUCAGCUGGUAGAGCAGAGGACUGGAAAA
rnacentral:tRNA from 1 species